UUGUCGUCAAAUUAAUAUUCGGCAAUAAUUAUUAAUAAUUAACUACUUACGUAAAAUACAAUAAUGAGUUUUAUUUUUAAUAUUAUUUAAAAUACGUAGAUUAAGACAAACUGAUAAACUGAACCAAUUUUUUUUAAAAAUGCCUCAGUCUGCUGUAAACCGAGAGUAUAGAAAACAAUAUGCAACUCCUGCAAGACUACAACUCCCCAGCCUUGGUAACUAGUAUACUUAUGAGUUAUGAUGACUUAUAAGUUAUAAAGUUAUAGUUAAAUAACUCAAAAACUACUUUAAUCUGUGGUUAUUAUGGUUUUGAACCGAUGAAGCUAGAGGGACUGCUUGUGUAUUACUUCCGACAAAUCGAUUUCUAUAACUUGAUUGGAUUUAACAGAACUCAUUUUAAAAAACGUAUACAAAUAAUUACAAGAUUAUGAAAAAUAUAUAAUAUUGACAUGUCAGCACUCAAAAUUUUAAAUUUUGUAAAUGGAAUAAUUUAAUCGUUUAGACGAUUAAAGUAUAUCCAUACAAAGUAUAUUAGUCUGUCAAAAUUUUGCGAUAAAAAAAAAAAGAAAAGAAACAAGACAAGUUAUUUAU